rnacentral:rRNA from 1 species
UACGUAGGGUGCAAGCGUUAAUCGGAAUUACUGGGCGUAAAGCGUGCGCAGGCGGUGAUGUAAGACAGUUGUGAAAUCCCCGGGCUCAACCUGGGAACUGCAUCUGUGACUGCAUCGCUGGAGUGCGGCAGAGGGGGAUGGAAUUCCGCGUGUAGCAGUGAAAUGCGUAGAUAUGCGGAGGAACACCGAUGGCGAAGGCAAUCCCCUGGGCCUGCACUGACGCUCAUGCACGAAAGCGUGGGGAGCAAACAGGAUUAGAAACCCUUGUAGUCC